GUGACGGGAGGUGGAGCUGUACGAAGACACGAAGAAAAAAUCCACGAUGCAUCUACUAGGAAAAACGACGACAGUUCCGGUACUAAUCCCGUUGUGUCUUAUCACACCGACGACGUCGAAGGAAAAGAAAAAGAUUGUAACGAAAAUGUAUCGGCGGUGUCGAAUCUGACUACUAUCAAGUUUAAAGGGAGAACGAGAACAACAAGAACAAGAGCGGCAUCGUUACUAGCAUCCUCACGACCGAUAGAACAAAAUGGGUACAAUUAUUCGAAGAAGACAAUACCCAAACAUAGAUUGAUAUUGAAUUCCUUGUCAUCGUCUUCGAACCAAAAGACGGGAACCCAAAAUUCAGCGGCAACGACGGUGGUAGGAGCCAGAAUAACA
rnacentral:rRNA from 1 species